UACGUAGGGGGCCAGCGUUGUCCGGAUUUAUUGGGCGUAAAGAGCUCGUAGGCGGUUUGUCGCGUCUGCUGUGAAAACUCGGGGCUUAACCCCGGGCCUGCAGUGGGUACGGGCAGACUAGAGUGCGGUAGGGGAGACUGGAAUUCCUGGUGUAGCGGUGAAAUGCGCAGAUAUCAGGAGGAACACCGGUGGCGAAGGCGGGUCUCUGGGCAGUAACUGACGCUGAGGAGCGAAAGCGUGGGGAGCGAACAGG
rnacentral:rRNA from 1 species